CUCCCGCCGGCGACCGGCGCACGGGUGAGUAACACGUAUGAAACCUGCCCGUAGCAGGGGGAUAAGCGGAAGAAAUUCCGUCUAAUACCGCGUAACAACCCAUGGAGGCAUCUCUGUGGGUUUAAAGGAAGCGAUUCCGGCUACGGAUGGUCAUGCGUCGCAUUAGCUUGUUGGCGGGGUAACGGCCCACCAAGCCGACGAUGCGUAGGGGUUCUGAGAGGAAGGUCCCCCACAUUGGAACUGAGACACGGUCCAAACUCCUACGGAAGGCAGCAG
rnacentral:rRNA from 1 species